CGGAAGGUGUACUCGGGGAACUGCCUGGAAACUCCUCUUUUUAGCUGACUCAUGAAUUCGAGCAGCUAUUUUCUAUUUAUAUAUAAGUUUGAAAGGAAACAGGAGACGUACACUUUAGCUUCAGCUCUCGCUCAAGAAAGACAUGGCUCGUUCAACUCUUUUGGUCGUCCUAAUGUUGGCACUCGUUGCCUGUUUGGCUGCUGCCUACCCACAGUUUGGUAAUCCGGGAUUAGGAGGAGGAGCAGGAUUUGGACAGCCUGGAUUCGGCGGUGUUGGAAUUGGUGGAAGUCCUUACACCAACGCAUUCGGGGGUCCCUGCCGUUACUGGAACCAAGACCCAAUCACCAGGAAAUACUUCUGCACCGAAACUCCCGACAAGACCUUCCCUGGACUCUUCUAAGACGAGUCUUUUUUUCUACCUGAAGAAUAAUAGGAUGGCAGUGGAGUGAAAAAACCUCAAGCUGAAUAAAUUCAGAAUUUAGACAAAUAUUGUCAGAAUUUAUCAAAGUGGUCUUCAUAUGAGAUUUUCAAGAAAUAUGAAAAUUUUAAAUUCAGGCCUUUCUCCAUUGUGUAACUUUCAUCAGUGUUAUUUGAGAGAUGAGACUCAACUGCCGCCCCAUAUAGUUCCUAAUCUAAUCUAAGAGAUCUGGAUGAAAAAUACGAUAUAGACAGACAGACAGACAGACGGACAGACAGACAGACAGACCAGACUGACAGACGGAAAAAAAUAAUUUAUUUCAAAGUAAAUGUUAGAAUGAGUGAAAGAGAUUUUACAAAUAAAAAUUUGUAUAAACAUUU